rnacentral:misc_RNA from 1 species
UUUCCGUAGGUGAACCUGCGGAAGGAUCAUUAUCUAGUUCUGACUGGGUUGUAGCAGGCCUUCCGAGGCAUGUGCACGCCCUGCUGAUCCACUCUACACCAGUGCACUUACUGUGGGUAUCAGAUCGUGAAGCGUGCUCUUUUACCGGAGCUUGUGAAGCGUGUCUCUGCCUGCGUUUAUAAAAAACACUAUAAUGUAUCAGAAUGUCUAUUACUGUGUAACGCUUAUAUAUACAACUUUCAGCAACGGAUCUCUUGGCUCUC